AUUGAACGCUGGCGGCAUGCCUUACACAUGCAAGUCGAACGGCAGCACGGGGCAACCUGGUGGCGAGUGGCGAACGGGUGAGUAAUAUAUCGGAACGUACCCUGGAGUGGGGAGUAACGUAGCGAAGUUAACGUCUAAUAACCGCAUACGAUCUAAGGAAGUGAAAGUAGGGGGCGUUCGCAAGAACCUCAUGCUCCUGGAGCGGCCGAUAUCUGAUUAGCUAGNGGUUAGGGUAAAGGACCUACCAAGGCUUCGAUCAGUAGCUGGUCUGAGAGGACGACCAGCCACACUGGAACUGAGA
rnacentral:rRNA from 1 species